AUAGGAUGAAGAACUAGUAGGAAAUGUCAGAAACAUAUACCACCCUGACGUUAAUAUUGUAUCAAACAGAUUCUAAAUAGACACCUAGAAAGCCUGCAGGAGUCAGAAGAAGCAGGAUUUUUAAAGAGUAACAACUGGCUUCCAAUUUAUCUCCCGCUAACCAAAAUUAAAGACGCUUCUCAGUUGAUAUAUGUAAGAGAUUCUCUGCUGUGCUAGAAAUUUAAUUUUUCCUAUUUCCAAAUCUGUACAUUUGUUGCUUCUAGCCAUUGAUUCCUUAUAACUAUCAACAAAAAAUUGCAUCUUCACAUCCUUUACUAAGGGGAGAUUGAGAAAAAGGUACAAAGUUACCAGCCAACAUAAAACUGAUUGAACUAACAAAUAUAUUAUUAUGGGAGCCCAGCUUUAAAUGGAGGGAAGAGAAAGACAGAUGACAAAAUCUAGAGUAACACAGAUAAAAGCAGUGGAGAGGAAAGAGAGGGGUGGUAGGAUAUAAGAUGACUUCAAGAAAAUGCCGCCUGUUUCUAUUAUAGUGAACUAGAAACUAAAUAAAUGUCAACUGUUACACAUUCAUUAAACAUAGUACUUUCAUUUAAACAGCAUAUAAUGAAGGCCUUGAAGACAGCAGUCUUGUAAUAAAAUGCAGGGACUCCAUAUCCUUAGUAAUAUUUAGGUUACUGGUCCAAGUCUAUGGUCACUGAUACUUGUUUCCAUUCAUUGUAAUGACACUUUUCUAAUAAAUUAGUUGCUCUUGCAAGUUUAAUAACCAGUAGUUCUUAAUAAUUUUUAAUAAUCCAUUAUCUGAACUAGAACUAUUUGGAACUCUUUAACAGUCUGAGUAGAGAGGUAGGAAUUUAAAAAAUAUUACAAGCUUACUAAAACAGAGUGUGGGUGCAUCAGGGGUAAGUGCCCAGGGCUGGGUACUGCCCUUGACCAGAAUUGUCCUCUAGGUGUCACCUCAUGUUAUUCUCACCUGCCAUGACUCUAAGUUUAAUUCACAUAACAGGAGGUAGUUCACUGUUAUUACACGCAAUCCUUCCGCAGGUAGGAUUUAUCACUUGCCCUAGUCACUAUCCAAAUUGGGACCUGUCCCUUUAAGGACUGCCUAGACUUGCUGGCUCGGCUGCCCCAUGUGUUUAAACAGGACACUGCUGGCUGGGACCUCUGCCGCCUGUAUACUUCCUCCACAUCCACUGCUGUAACAGAAAUAUACAAUAACAGAAAAAGCUGAGGCCAUCCAGCCCUUUCAUCAUAUCCCAAAGCAUUGCAGCUGGGAGCCUCCACUCCCUCUCACCCCCUUCUUUUAGUCAGAGACAGCUGCCUUUAAUUCUUCCAGACACCGGGUGACCAAUCAACUGGCCUUUCUGCCACACCCACAGGUGUUAAUGGCUCUCACUUCUUUUUAAUGGUCUUGACGUUUCACCAAUCAAGCGAUCCUUUGUCCUGCAAUUCUGCUAUCUGUUAGCUGCUCCUGGAAAUGAAGCUUCUAUUUCACAACUCUGCAGAUUGUUUUUAACUCUUUCCAAUGAAAUUUGCUUUUGUUUCUAUCUUAAGCUGCAUAAUACAGUGCUAGACCCCUAGCAUAUUAGUAAAGCUUCUAGUUUAUUUUUAACUGGAG